UACGGAGGGUGCGAGCGUUGUCCGGAAUCACUGGGCGUAAAGGGCGCGUAGGUGGCCUGUGGAAGUCUGCGGUGAAAGCCCGGCGCUCAACGCCGGGUCGGCCGUGGAUACUCUCGGGCUCGAGCUUACUAGAGGCAGAUGGAAUUCCGGGUGUAGCGGUGGAAUGCGUAGAGAUCCGGAAGAACACCGGUGGCGAAGGCGGCCCGCUGGGCAGUGGCUGACGCUGAGGCGCGACAGCGUGGGGAGCAAACAGG
rnacentral:rRNA from 1 species